CCAAGAACCUGGACACCCUCCACCGGUGACACAGCCAUGUGGAACUGUCUAACCAUAAAAUCAUCAAUACUGAGAAAUUAAAAGGGGAACAUGUCAGGCCUCACUCUUUCUGUAUUGGAUUUCAAGAGUAUUGUCCUUGGUGAGGAAGACAAAGUGAGUGGGCUCAGUAACUCGCCCGAGUCACAGAGUCAAAGCAGGAGCUGGACCCAGAUAGUCCAGAGCUCAUGCUCGUACACACUUCACUUCGCUAUCCUGAAUAAAAAAACCAAGACUCCAGGAGGGCUGCAGCUUCGUCCAAGGUGUCGUGACUUGCCCACAGCCACCCUCUUGGCAAAUGACCCAGUAAACUCCACCUCCAGCUCCUCUACCUCC
rnacentral:lncRNA from 10 species